rnacentral:rRNA from 1 species
CCUACGUGGGGCUGCAGUGGGGAAUAUUGGACAAUGGGCGAAAGCCUGAUCCAGCCAUGCCGCGUGUGUGAAGAAGGCCUUCGGGUUGUAAAGCACUUUCAGUGGGGAAGAAAGCCUUGGGGCUAAUACCCUCGAGGAAGGACAUCACCCACAGAAGAAGCACCGGCUAACUCCGUGCCAGCAGCCGCGGUAAUACGGAGGGUGCGAGCGUUAAUCGGAAUUACUGGGCGUAAAGCGCGCGUAGGCGGUCUGAUAAGCCGGUUGUGAAAGCCCCGGGCUCAACCUGGGAACGGCAUCCGGAACUGUCAGGCUAGAGUGCAGGAGAGGAAGGUAGAAUUCCCGGUGUAGCGGUGAAAUGCGUAGAGAUCGGGAGGAAUACCAGUGGCGAAGGCGGCCUUCUGGACUGACACUGACGCUGAGGUGCGAAAGCGUGGGUAGCAAACAGGAUUAGAUACCCGUGUAGUC